AUUAGCUUGCUUAAGUUGUCAGCUAAGUGGCGCACGGGUGAGUAAUGUAUAGAUAACCUGCCCUUAAGAAAGGAAUAACAGUUGGAAACGACUGCUAAUGCCCUAUAUGCCUUUAAUACAUAAGUAUGCAAGGGAAACGCUUUAGUGCUUAAGGAUGGGUCUGUAUGGUAUCAGCUUGUUGGUGAGGUAAUGGCUCACCAAGGCUAUGACGCCUAACUGGUUUGAGAGGAUGAUCAGUCACACUGGAACUGAGACACGGUCCAGACUCCUACGGGAGGCAGCAGUGGGGAAUAUUGCACAAUGGACGAAAGUCUGAUGCAGCAACGCCGUGUGGAGGAUGACACAUUUCGGUGCGUAAACUCCUUUUAUAUAGGAAGAUAAUGACGGUACUAUAUGAAUAAGCACCGGCUAACUCCGUGCCAGCAGCCGCGGUAAUACGGAGGGUGCAAGCGUUACUCGGAAUCACUGGGCGUAAAGAGCGUGUAGGCGGGUAUAUAAGUCAGAAGUGAAAUCCUAUAGCUUAACUAUAGAACUGCUUUUGAAACUGUAUACCUAGAAUGU
rnacentral:rRNA from 1 species